rnacentral:lncRNA from 1 species
UAGAGUUUGACAAAACUGAGAAAAGGUCUUAUCUUCUUCUUCAUCUGAUCGUGGCGAUCGCCAUGGAAAUAUCUCUUCUCCGUUCGGCGGGGACGCAAGCAUUUCUCUCGUCAUUCUUGAAGCCAAUUCCACUGCACCGAAUGUGAUUGUGAGACAGAGGCGAAGAAAGUACCGUGUUGUGGAAGCAAUAUACGAUUCGAUGUUCUUUGCAAAGCGUGAAAUGAGGCAAUAAAUUUUGAUUUCGAGAUCACACAGUUAUUACAUUCAUGAGUUCAUCUACCGAACAGUUUAUUAUGUUUAUAGAAUGCUCUGUGUUUGGUUUAGUGGAUUUAAUUAGCCUUCUCUCUCUGCUGCGUGGUUAAAUGCAGGGUUUUGAUAGUGGUUAAUUUGAAAGAUCCUAAUUCGCCAAGGUUUGUGUUAUGUAAUGGUGAGGCCGGUUCCGUCAAAGCCAACCGACUUGCAAGUCCUUGUUUGUUUGACUUGAUGAGCAUUAGGGCUGGGCUUGGUGCCAUUCACCUCCAGUUUGUACUCUUACCGCAAAAUCUCCCAAACUUUAUUAUAUGGAAGGUGCUUAUGAAACUGCAAUCCCAAACUAAUAAUUUCAUGUC